GACGAGGGGUCCAAGCGUUGUUCGGAAUCAUUGGGCGUAAAGAGCGUGUAGGCGGCCAGGUAGGUCGGUUGUGAAAACUGGAGGCUCAACCUUCAGAGGUCGACCGAAACCAUCUGGCUAGAGUCCGGGAGAGGAGAGUGGAAUUCCUGGUGUAGCGGUGAAAUGCGCAGAUAUCAGGAAGAACACCCGUGGCGAAAGCGGCUCUCUGGAACGGUACUGACGCUGAGACGCGAAAGCGUGGGGAGCGAACAGG
rnacentral:rRNA from 1 species